rnacentral:lncRNA from 1 species
GGGCGUGCCAGUCCAUAGCAUCAAUGCCUUCGUCUUGCAGGAACUGCUGACACACUCCAGCCACAUGAGGUCUAGCAUUGUCUUGCAUUAGGAGGAACCCAGGGCCAACCGCACCAGCACAAGGUCUCACAAGGGGUCUGAGGAUCUCAUCUCGGUACCUAAUGGCAGUCAGGCUACCUCUGGCGAGCACAUGGAGGGCUGUGCGGCCCCUUAAAGAAAUGCUACCCCACACCAUUACUGACCCACUGCCAAACCGGUCAUGCUGGAGGAUGUUGCAGGCAGCAG